UACGAAGGGGGCUAGCGUUGCUCGGAAUCACUGGGCGUAAAGGGUGCGUAGGCGGGUUUUUAAGUCAGAGGUGAAAUCCUGGAGCUCAACUCCAGAACUGCCUUUGAUACUGAAAGUCUUGAGUAUGGGAGAGGUGAGUGGAACUGCGAGUGUAGAGGUGAAAUUCGUAGAUAUUCGCAAGAACACCAGUGGCGAAGGCGGCUCACUGGCCCAUUACUGACACUGAGGGACGAAAGCUAGGGGAGCGAAAGGG
rnacentral:rRNA from 1 species